rnacentral:lncRNA from 1 species
CUGGCACACAAAUGCCUGAAAAUGUUAGUCGUUGAUAUAGAAAAAACAACAAUAACAAUACUAGCUUCCUUUUUAGGGCUUCCCUGGUAGCUCAGUCUGUAAAGAAUCUGUCUGCAGUGCAGGAGACCUGGGUUUGAUCCCUGGUCAGGAAGAUACCGUGGAGAAGGAAAUGGCAAACCACUCCAACUUCCCUAGUGGCUCAGAUGGUAAAGAAUCUACCUGCAAUUCAGGAGACCUGGGUUCAUUUCCUGGGUUGGGAAGAUCCCCUGGAGGAGGGCAUGGCAACCAACUCCAGUAUUCUUGCCUGGAGAAUCCCAUGGACAGAGGAGCCUGGUGGGCUACAGUUCAUGGGAUUGCAAGAGUCAGAUAUGACUUAGCAACUAAACCACCACCACCUCACCACAGCUUCCUUUUUACUUGUCAUGUUUUUAGUCAGAGAUAAUCAGCCCAUGACCUGGGGGUCUUGAUAUGUGAUCUACACAAUGCUAACAUACAGAAGAGGCAGCCACGUUUGGAGGCCCUAUGAUGUCCUGGGUGCCUGUUCUGAGCAGCGUGUUCACGUGUGCUGUCUCAUCGUUCUUCUCAACUGCAGGGAGGCUUGGAGGUGAAGAGAUAUGCAGCCGUGUCACAUGGUGUCAUAAGUGGUGGAAUGAGAUGACCCCAAAGCCCUGCUCUGAUUACCAGAUUCCCUUUGCCCCAGCACCAAAGCAGAGGAGACCCAGAAGGAUAAGCCAGAGCAUUGGAGAGCUGGGUUCCCACCCCAACAGUAAGGGCUGUUGUGAGGAUUAAAUGACGCCGUGCAGAUGAAGCAAUGGCACCUACCAAGCACUGACAAGAGGGUCACCACUGGGCCCCCAGGGGGCUCUCUGGGGCAGACCUCCGCUCCAGGCCACUCGGACACCUUGUCGCCCAAGCCUGCAGGGCUCGCUGCAGCUCCCGGCCUUUGUCCAGCUGGGUUCCCUGGGUCGCAAGGGCCUGCACAGAGACCCGGCCGCACUCUUCCCACGGGAGGCCUUUCCAUCCUCACUGUCUCCGCCAGGCCCCCAGCCCUGCGUGUGUUUUCUCUCUGUAAUGCUCCCUGGUGCUCUAUGGUGGAAACCCAAGUCGGAGCCUGCAGGUUCCUGACCACCCAGCAGUGGGGGCUGGGCUCACCUUCGAUCCUGACUCUUGCCCCAGCACUUUCUGCUCAGGGCUGCCCACUUGGGCCUUCUGAUAAAGGUAUGUUUCCCAGUUGGUUAUUUUCAAGGGAAAAGUCUCAUGUUUGGGGCAGGGAGGGAUUGACAGGGGAGAGGGGUGAUGGACUUUUUUUCUUCCCAGGAAGAGAAUGA